GACGAACGCUGGCGGCGUGCUUAACACAUGCAAGUCGAACGGAAAGGCCCUGCUUUUGUUGGGUGCUCGAGUGGCGAACGGGUGAGUAACACGUGAGUAACCUGCCCUUGACUUUGGGAUAACUCCAGGAAACUGGGGCUAUAACCGGAUAGAAGCUCUUGAUCCAUGUGGGGGAUUGGAAAGUUACGGCGUUGGGGGAUGGACUCGAGGCUUACGCGCUGGUUGGUGGGGUAGUGGCUUACCAAGGCUUUGACGGGUAGCCGGCCUGAGAGGGUGACCGGCCACAAUGGGACUGAGAUACGGCCCAGACUCCUACGGGAGGCAGCAGUGGAGAAUAUUGCACAGUGGGCGGAAGCCUGAUGCAGCAACGCCGCGUGCGGGAUGACGGCCUUCGGGUUGUAAACCGCUUUCGCCUGUGACGAAGCGUGAGUGACGGUAAUGGGUAAAGAAGCAACGGCUAACUACGUG
rnacentral:rRNA from 1 species